GUCCUUUUCGUCUAAUGGUUAGGACAUUGCUUUUUCACGGCGAAAAUACGGGUUCAAUUCCCGUAAAGGAUU
rnacentral:tRNA from 1 species